UGGAAGUCCAAGAUCAAGGUGCCAGCAUAUUCCAUGUCUGGUAACAGCCCAUUUCCUGGUUCACAGAUAGGCUUCUUCCCACUGUGUCCUCAAAAGUGCCUUUGAAAGAAGGGAACCAAUCCCAUUCAUGAGGGCUCCACCCUGAUGACCUGAUCACCUACCAAAGUCUCCACCUCCUAAUACCAUCACAUUGGAGAUUAGGAUUUCAACACAGGGGGUUUUUGGGGAAGCAACCGUUCAGUCUACAGCAGACAGCAAGGGAGAUCCAGGGUAUGUGGAUCCUAUGAGGGAAGAUUCCCCAGCAUCCAAUUCAGAAACUGAAGCCCAGUGAGCAAUUAAGAACUCCCACGAUCCAGGGGUUUCCAAGAAAAACAGAGCAUGGAGUUUUCCCCAGAGGAUAGCCCUGGAGUCUAAUGAGGGGCCUUCCCAGCCCAGGACAGAGGAAUUUAGCAAUUCUGGCCAGCGGAGUCAGGUGUCCUGUUGGGCUGUGAUAGGGUGUUUCUCCCACUCUGUUUUGGAAUGGUGGUGUGGUGUUUGUUUCAGAGAUAAUGUGCUUGUUUGCUGGGUGGAGGAGAGCAACCACUCUCCCUCUAGGUGAUUGGUGGCAGCCCAAGAGGAGUCCCGGCCAUGGAGUGAGAUUGCCUGGGGGCCCUUUGCAUUGGGCAGUGACUGGUGGGACUGUGGUUGCCCCUCUGGGGGAAGGCGUGAGGGUGCUCUCUGCAUGGACGGGAGAAUGUUUAGGAGGCACAGAAGGGUCUGGCCAAGUCUUAGUGAUCCAGCGACACUUCUUUUUCUCCUCUUCCUGGCCACGCGGGAAAACCGAGCUUUCUAACACCUUUACAUUAGGUGGAGCUGUGUCACAGGCCGCGGCAAAAUCUCUCACCCUUGAUCAUUACUUUUUCCUUUAGACAGUGAACUUGGAGGCUGCAUUUUUAAGGUGGUACAGAGAGGGAAAGAGCCUGGUCCCUAAAUCACUUGUUGGCGUGUCCCGUGACCUAACCUGGAUAUGAGAGUGAGAAACACACCUGUUGCGUGGAGCCACUGAGAUUUGGUGCUUUUCUGUUUGCGGACUCAGCCUAAGUGUCAGUGCACUCGGCUGCCAACUGCGGAGACUGUCACAGUCUCGGCCACAGGGCAGGGACGCAGCCCGCGGACCCGCAGAUCCGCCCGCUGCGCCUGGGGCCCUCCCUUGGCCUGUGCAGCCUGCAGGUCCAGCACGUCCUGUGUCUAAUUGCUUCCCUUGGUGGCUUCCUCAUCACCGGCCGGUCAGCGUCAUCCUCCGUGCAGAUCACAGUCAAAGCCCCAGGGAAUAUUUUGUGAGUGCCAUGGAAGAGUGGGGCCGGUGGGUGUCGGGCAUAGGCUAUGUGUUGCCAUUUUUCAGUUUCCUGACUCUCAGCUCCAAAUUCAUCCUUCAUUACCUGAUCUGUGAAGAUGCAGAUGCAUGGCUUCACAAUUGCAACACCCAAAGAUGUUAAUGGAUUUAAAUCUAGGGAUUGAGGAUGACUGCAGGUUCUUCCUCCAUCUGUUUCAGGUACCACAGAAGUUGAAGAGGAAAGCAAGGGUGUCGUAAGAAGAGUUGGACUAUUUCAGAACAGCAAGCUCUGCUGCUCUAGUAAUUUGUGGUACUUAGUGUUUAUUUUCAUGUCAGCAGAUGAAGAGAAGUCAUGCACAAACAAAAUUAAAGAAAACAAAUCAACACCUCCCCAUUAUAUUUCUUUAAUGCCAUCACACGUCAGCC
rnacentral:lncRNA from 10 species